GAGUUUGAUCCUGGCUCAGGACGAACGCUGGCGGCGUGCUUAACACAUGCAAGUCGAGCGACGCGCCUUCGGGUGACGGAGCGGCGAACGGGUGAGUAACACGUGGGCAACCUGCCCACAGCUCUGGGAUAACUCCGGGAAACCGGGGCUAAUACCGGAUAUGACCUUGGGAGACAUCUCUCUUGGUGGAAAGUUUUUCGGCUGAGGAUGGGCCCGCGGCCUAUCAGCUUGUUGGUGGGGUAAUGGCCUACCAAGGCGACGACGGGUAGCCGGCCUGAGAGGGCGACCGGCCACACUGGGACUGAGACACGGCCCAGACUCCUACGGGAGGCAGCAGUGGGGAAUAUUGCGCAAUGGGCGAAAGCCUGACGCAGCGACGCCGCGUGAGGGAUGAAGGCCUUCGGGUUGUAAACCUCUUUCAGCAGGGACGAAGCGAGAGUGACGGUACCUGCAGAAGAAGCACCGGCCAACUACGUGCCAGCACCGCGGUAAUACGUAGGGUGCAAGCGUUGUCCGGAAUUAUUGGGCGUAAAGAGCUCGUAGCGGAUUGUCGCGUCGCUGUGAAAUCUCGGGCUCACCCGAGUCUGAUCAUACGGGCAGCUAANUGCUGUAAGGGAGAUGGAAUUNCUGGUGUACGGUGAAUG
rnacentral:rRNA from 1 species